rnacentral:sRNA from 1 species
AUGCCUUCUCUUCGACAUUUGUACUUUUACAAAUGUCCUAGACUAGAGUGUUUUAAUGAAGGAAUCCAACGUCUCACCGCCCUUCGCUUCUUGCGCUUCAAUGGAUGUGGAAGCCUGAUAUCUUUGCCACGAGGAAUGAAACACCUAACCGCGUUGGAAUCUCUAGAAAUUGGAGGAUGUGUAAAGCUUAAUUUAAUGGGAGGGGAUGACUACCCAACAAGGCUUCAAACACUCCGUAUUUGGAAAUUGCCACAAUUAGCAAGUUUUCCCCAAGGGCUUAAAGGAUCUGCCAACACUCUACAAUUUUUAGAGAUCUAUAAUUGUGAGAACUUGGGGGUAUUGCCAGAGUGGCUUCCCGAUCUCAGUUCUCUUCGCAAGAUUCAGAUUUGGUAUUGCCGAAAAUUAUCGUCUCUGCCAGAAGGGAUGGAUCGCCUCACUGCUCUAAGAGUACUGAAGAUUGAUGGUUGUCUUGAAUUGAGGAGAGAUUAUGAGCGAGAGGUCAGCAAAGAUUGGGGCAAGAUGGUCAAAUUCAGUUUAGAUAAGCACUGAGUAGGUAAGGGCUAAAAUCUUCUUCCUCUUCUACGUAUGCUCUGUUUUUCUAUCUUACUUCUAACCUAAAAGUCUGAUUUUUUGUGGAAUUAAAUCACAAUAAACAACAACUAACCCAGAAAUCGUUUCUACUUUUGUUUUUCUUUUUUAAAAAUAAAACAUAUUAUAGCAAUAAUAUGAUUUUUUUUUCUACUUUUCUUUGGUUCAUAAUUUAAGAUAGAAAUAAAUUGAGAAAAGAAAAGUAAGUUAUGAAAUCUAAAAGAUAAUUUGUCAUUUUUUUGUUAUAAAGAUUUGAGUCUAUGGAGAAUAAAAGAGUAGACAAAUUAUGAACUCUAUUCUUGUCUCUCUCUUUUUUGGUUGUAUUUAUUGAAUUAAUUCACAAUAAGGAAAAAAAAAAAAAAAACUAACCAGACGGAUUAUAUUUUUUGUUUUUUUGUUUUUUUUUUUUAAAUAACAAGAGGGCAAUAAUCAUUUAAGAUAGAAAUAAAUUGAAAAAAAAAAGUAUGUUAUGGAAUGAAAAAGAUAAUUGUUUUUUGGUUUUAAAGAUUGAGUCUACGGAGAAUAAAAGAGUAGACAAAUUAUGAACUCUAUUCUUGUCUUUGAUGGGAGAAAAUUUUAAAAUCUUGUAAUCUUUUCAUUUCCUCUCUCUAAAAGUGAACUGAACACGGUGUUAAUGAGAUUUUCUGACUAGGAGUAGAUGCAAUGCAAAAAUAUAAAGUCAUAUUAUCAAGGAUGUAUGAAAUCUAUAUUUUUGUGAAAUUGGCAUUAUUUUAAAUAUAUUUGAUUCUUCUUGUUUCUAAAUUGACAGAUGUUCUUGGGAGAUUGUUCUCUCAAAAAAGGAUGUUCCUUGUGCUUAAAAUUGCCAUUGGUAAGAUAUUUUUUUAAUUUUUAAUUUUUAGUGUUCAAUCUAGUGAAUGAUUGCAUUGGAUUUACAUUUCUUAGUACCAAUGGAUUAUUUUCAAUUUAUACUCAUCUAAUGAUUCCGUGCUUCAAAACAUUGCAGCUUAUCAAUUCAGCCAUAACAUGCAGCACAGAAAGUCUCAGCCUUCUCUUGUAUUGUAAAUAAUUUUAAUAAUAUUGUGGUGUGCAUUUAGUGUUUGUAAUGAUUAAUGGAGUGAUGUGUGUUUAUAUUUAUGAUUUCAAUUGUAAUUCAUGUAUUAUCUAAUUUGUAAAAUGUUUUAGUAACUUGAGUCAUGUGUGUGUUAUUAAUUGUUUGUCUCUGCUUCUUGGUUAUUGGAGUUAUUCAAAUGAAAUUCUUUGUUGUGCUUUAUCAUUUAAUUAAAAAAAAAAAUUUGAAGUUUGAAAUUUUUUUCAUGUGAUGUAAAAUAACUAAUAGCAUUAGAAUAUUUGGUAACCCAACAAUGUGAAAAUUUUAAUUUUAUGGAAGUGGAAUACUACCUAGAAGUUUGCUUUAGCCAUCAAUUGUCGGUUCUAAAUGUCAAUUUGUUUUGAAAAUUUGGUAUUUUAAACACCCAAAGUUGUCAUAUCUACUGAGUGGCCUUAAUACCCAAAGAGGACUGAAGACUGAAGAUUGUUCUAAAUCAAGAUGACAAUGCCAAGGAGAUAUUGGUGAGUAUUGUGUAUAAGUUGCUUGUAAAUUUGGCCGCCAUUGUUUGCUAAGAUUCACACAAUUUUUUGACUAUAAUUGAUGCCUCUUGUUUCUGAAGUUUGGUCAGGUUUUCAUGGAAGAUACUUCUAAGGAAAAUGGAUUCCUUUAGCUUAAAAUUUCUUUUCUAGGUGAGAUUUCAAAGUUUGAAUGUAAAAAAGAAUUCCAUGAUGAUGUGAAAGCAACAAAGAAAGACAUUGAAUUAGCCAUUAAGCUUAGAGUUUGUUUGGUUAAAAAAAAUGGUCACUCAUCACUCAUCACUCAGUUUUCAUCACCCAUUAAUCAUCACUCAAACUCUAUUUUUUCACUCACUCAAAAUAAAACUCGUUUGGUUUCAAUACCCAAUCACAUAUCUCACAUUUUUAACCCAACUUUUUGCCAAAAAGUGGACCCCACCCACUAACACUACACAGUAGUUCACUAAUAACUACCCGCGUCCCCUUCUUCUAUACUACAUAGUGGUAUCCCAUCAAAAAAACUCAUUUAACGCAUCUAACAAUACCCAUUCAUCCAAAGGUAAGAAUCUACCCUCACCUCCCACAUCAUUGCAUGCGCAGAUCAUCCAAGGUUCUCUUCUAUAUUUUAAUCUUCUUUCCUUUUUCAAUUUCACUUUCCUUCAACGGCCCUCAUCACAACCACAACCUCCACCAAAAAACCCACAAACAAAAACCCACAAACACAAAAAACCCAAAAUCAAACCCAAGAAUCCUUAGAUCAAAAACCAAAAUCACGAAAAUGAGGUGUGGGUUUUUGUUUCUAGGUAUAAAUUUAUGCAUGUAUGAAAAUGGUGGAGUGGGUCUGAAGAAGAAAAAAAAAACGUUGGAGUGGGUUUGAAGAAGAAGGAAAGAAAGAAAAAGAAAGAAGAAGAAGAAAAAAAAAAAAAACGUUGGAGUGGGUCUAAAGAAGAAAGAAAAAUAAAGAAGAAGAUGAGGGGAAAAAAAAGCCUUGGAAUGGGUUUGAAGAAAGAAAGAAAGAAAGAAAGAAAGAAAAGGAAAGAAGAAGAACAACAAAGAAAAAGGACAAAAAGUUGUUGGUGAGCGGGUCUGACUUGACAACACACAAGUCAUGGGCCCCACAAUCUCCUCCUAUUUACGAACAUGCCACUAAAAAUCAGAUUUUGAGUUAUGAAAAUAGGUUUCACCUGUUUUCAUUUUUCAUGACUGUGAUCUGGAUUUUUGAGUGACUAAGUCAUGAAAACAAUGAUUGGAAAUUCAUCCAAACAACUACUCCUCCAUGGGACCCACAUAAUUUGGAUGAUGAAAAUAGAAAAUUAAGUGAUAUCACUCAAAACUCAUCCCAUCCAAACAACCUCUUAGUGUCUCACCUAUGCGCACUUGAUUGAAUCGGUCUUUCUUGUAGGUCAUACAUGGCUCUCUCAAAACUUGUUGAUUUUGGUAGAGAAUCUAUGUUGUCAUUGCAAUGGUUUUUUAGCGCAUGACAUGCACCUGUGAUAUUUACUAGUUCAUGAAAACUUGCUAUAGGUCUGAGGUUUGGAGGAUUACCAAAGUUGAAUAUUUGACGAAGCAAAAAUUUCCUGCUUGCCACAUGUUUGGUGGUGAGAAUAUGCAUAAUUUCUUCAAAAAUUUCCAAACCCUUGACGAUUAAAUCCAUAGUUAUUGUAAUCCUUAAAAAAAAAAAAACAAAAAACAAAAAAACAAAAACACAAAAAAACAAAACAAAAAAACAAACUUCAAUUUUUUUUACUUAGUGAACACCAGAGAAGAUAUAUGUAGUUUUGUUUUUUUUUUUUUUUUUUAAAAAAAAAAAAAAAAAAAAAAAAAAGGAACACCCUAGUACACAAUGAGUGAACAAGAGUUAAAAAAUCAAAUACAAAAAUUGCAAGAGUCUAGGAAGUUAAUAAAAGAAGGGAAUGAUUGGUCUUGCAAAGCAAACAAGCAAUUCAUUAAAGUUCUAAAAAAGAGAAGCUUGAGGUCCGGAAUAGAUCUCUCAAUAUCUUCGAAACAUCUACUAUUUCUCUCCCUUCAAAGACACCACAUUAAGCAAUGAGGAAUGAUGGACCAAAUAUAACCAUUUCGAUGACGACCAAAGCUGCCUUGCCAACACCCUAACAGCCCUAAAACCGUGUGUGGCAUAACCCAAGUUACUCUAAAUAGACCCAAAACCAUAGUCCAUAGAUCCGUAAUAGAGGGACAAUGAAGGAAUAGUGGUCAAUCGAUUCACCAUUUCUCUUACACAUGUAGCACCAAUCCAAAAUCCACACCUUCCUUUUUUUGUAAAUUAUCAAUCAUCAGGCAUUUCCUUAAAGUAACAGUCCAAACAAAGAAAGCGACUCUAGAGGGAAUCUUUUGCUUCCAAAUACUUUCCCAAGGAAAACCAUAGAAAGUGUUGCAAACUAAAAUUCUAUAAUAAUCACUAACCAUGAAACCCUUUUCUUUGCUAGGUAUCCAACACAUUUUAUCCUCACCUAGCCCCUUUAUAGGAGAACCAUAUAUGGUUUCCUUAAAGUCUGGCAUAGCCUCUAGAUCCUGAGCAUGCACACUCCUUAAGAAUCUCACAUCCCAAAAGAGGACACCAUUGGAGGACUUCAUAAGCUCCGCCACACUAGCAUCCUUAUUCCUGCAAAAUCUGAACAAGUCAAGAUAUCUAACAGCAAGAGAUGUCUCUCCACACCACCAGUCUUGCCAAAAACUUCACUCUAGACCCAUCACCAAUAUCAUAUAGAAUAUGGCAUGAGUAAGAAUGCCAUCCUUGAUUGGUAUUUUUCCAUAAACCAACACCGUAAGGGCCAUUCAUAGAUCUAGUACACCAGCCCCCCACCCCACGCACAUCCAUAUUUCAUCUUUAUCACUUGUCUCCAAAGGGCAUCUUUCUCAAUCCCAAAUCUCCAUAGCCACUUCCCAAGUAAAGCUUCAUUAAAAAGUCUUAUUUUCCUUAUCCCUAAGCCAUACGAAGAAAUAGGAGCACAAACAGUAGCCCAUUUAACCAAAUGAAUUUUAGGAUAUCUCCAAAACUGCCCCAUAAGAAAUUCCACUAGAGCCUCUCAAUUCGGUUAGCCACACUAGUAGGUAUAGGAAAUAAAGAUAGGAAAUAAGUGGGUAAAUUAGAUAGGGUGCUUUUGAUUAGGGUGACUCUACCUCCCUUGGAUAAAUAUAAGCGUUUCCAACCUGCCAAUCUCCUCUCCAUUUUCUCCAGAAUUGGAUUCCAUAUAGUCUUAUCCUUGAAUUUAGCACACAAAGGUAGACCUAGAUAUUUCAUUGGAAGAGAACCCUACUUGCAGCCAAGAACCACCAACAAAAGGUCAAUAUUAUGGACUAACCCAACCGGAACCAAUUAUGACUUGCUUAGGUUUAUCUUUAGACUCGACACCGCCUUAAACCAAAUAAGGUAUAUGCAGUUUUGUGUGUGAAGGCUACACUUUUUAAUCUCAUUUUACACUUAAAAACCUUGAUUCUUCCCCGUUAUUAAUUAGGCUAAAUCUACUAAAUGAACACUAUUGACUUCUAGAUUUAGGUACUUUUUACUUUCAUUUUCAAGGCUUUGGAUACUUCCUAUAGGUUUUUAAUUUUUGGUACUUUCUGUAGAUUAUUAAUAUAAUGUUCAAGUUUCUGGCCUAUAAUAUAUGGUCCUCUUUCUAGGUACUUACUAUCAUGCUCAAGGUUUAGAAAUUCCUUUGGAGCUAUGUAAUGUGGGAUGUGGGGAAAAAAUUAACAUUAUUUAUGUCUUACUUAUUGCUUGCAUGAUGUACUAUGUUAUUUGCUUUGCUUUGCUUUACUUGCAUGGAUAAUGUUGAUGAUGUAUAGCUUGGGUUUUCAUUGUUGACACUUGAUAUGCUUAUGAGUACUUAACUGAUAAGUGUUUCUUGAUGAAAAUUUGGAAUUAUAGCCUAUCAGUAUAUCUAAAGAGUUUUAUAUUUUUCUAAUGAUCCAUUGUUUAUUGGUUUAAUCUUAAUUUUAGGUUAGUCUGGAGUUAUUACAGCUUUGGUAAAAGGUUUCCUCUGCACUUUACAAGGUUGAAUCUAUAAACUUUAUGGGCGAGAGGCAUCUAGAGAAACAACACUUAGCCAUUCACUUCAUCAAGGAAGUUCAAAUCAAAAGUUCUGAGGUACGUCCUAAUUUUAUCCUUUUAAACUUUUGGGUGAGAGGCAUCUGGAAAAACAACACUUAGCCCUUCACUUCAUCAAGGAAGCUCAAAUCAAAAGUUCUGAGGUACGUCCCAAUUUUAUCCUCUUAAACUUUUUGAUUAGAAAUGUUUAAGGUAUAAUUGGAAUUAAUUUGGUUUACUCAGGUAAACAAGGAACUUCUUUCUAACCUGUUAUUGUGAAAUCUGAUAAGUCAAUUUACAUAGAUCCCAAAACCCUUGAUUGUUCUAAUAUAUAGAUUUCACAAUAAUCAAAGCUAAUUAUAGAUCCUUAUGCAAAACCUUCUUGCCUAUUUUAGCUAUUAUCAUUUUGUCAAAAACUGUUGAACCUUAAGCGCACAUCCCUUUCUCAUGUCUCUCUUCCCAUGUGAGAGUUCCAUGACCAAUGGAUUUGUCACAUUUAGUUUUGCAUAAUUUAUAACUUUUAUCUGUAUUCUUCAUUUAUGGUGGCACUUUUAAAAGAAAAAAGAAAAAGAUGACUCUCCUGUUUUUUAUACGAAGAAAGUUUGAGAACUGCUAUAAUAAUAUUGUAAGUCAUUACAUCUUAUACACUAUGAGAUGUAAAGACUUGACCAACAAUUCCCAUGAAAAGAAGGAAGUAUCAGAAGAUAUUGAAAACAUUUACAUGAACAAUUAGUAGUUAAAUUUACAUUUUACUGUGCUUAAAUUGGUGGUUUGAGCAAUGGCUUUUCAUAGAGAUAUCCCAUUGGUUUUGGAAACUGUUAGUUGUUUAGCCCUUUAAGAUUAUCUUGUCAGCUAUGUUCAACAUAGCUUUUGUUAAAGCUAAUAUUUUGGCUAGACCACUCUUUUGGUGAAUGUUUUAUUCUAAAUUUCUUACUUUUCUAGUUGUUCAUAAGAUAUUUUUAUAAUGGAAUUGUUGUUAGUCCAUUGUUUGAUAUCCUGAUAGUCUCUUAGAUGAAGCCCAUUUUGCAAUUAGUCUUGACACACUAGAUAUGACUGUCUCCAGAUCUUAUGCUUGAGAAUGCAGGAUCAAGCCAUAUCACAUUGUUUGAUGCUGCUUUGUCAUGGAAAGGAGCUCCCACUAUCUUUUAGUUCUUGCUAUAAGGUUUUUCCAGAUAUUCACUUUUUCUUUAUAAAUGUCUUCUAUUCGUUUUACAACUAUUAAGCUAAAAUUAUAAAUACUUUGUAAAUUUCAACAUGUAAUAGUGAAUAUUAAAACCGCUUGCAUCACCAUAGUAGUGAUAGCAAUUUAGAAUUAGGCAUAUAAUGAAUAUAGAUGGCAGCAUAGAUAUUUGUUGGUGUAGUCUAUCAAUGACGGAGAAUCUUGACCAAUUUAGUCCAUAGAUGAUAAUGAGAGUGAAUUUGAAAAAAUGAGUACUGAUGAACCUUGUGUGUAUGCUAUAAGCACAAAUUUGUAAGAUCACACUUAGUGAUUGGCAUGUUAGGAUUUUCCAUUUUCUUUUUCUUUUUCUUUAUUCUUUUUCCCCUUUGUUGGGUGUACAUUAGAUUUAAUACAGUAGUUGUUGCUUUGGAGUAGUGCUUUUGCUUCUGAGUCUAGAAUAUCUGCACUUUAAAUGGUUUUGGUAUUAGUUGUUCAAGUUUCAUUAAGACAUUCACUAGAAUUGCAAUUGUAGAGUUGUCAUUAUCAUCAUCAUUCUCUGCCAUUUAAAGAAAAUUUACCCAACAACUAUAGGUGGCCAAAUCUUCGUAUGCUAACCUAUAUUGAUCGAGUUUGCAGUUUGUUUCAUCAUUGGAGCCUAUAUUAUUACAACUUACUCAAUGUAGACAAUAAAAGAGUGUUAAGUUAUUUGCACUCUGUUAUUUUCUUUCUCAAUAUUCUUAUGCUUUAAUACCAUCCUGCAUGUUUGGAUUUUUCAGGUAGUUGCCCUUCUCCUCCAAUGUGAACUUGGAUCAUAUGAUAGGUGGCACCUUCCAAGAUGUAAAAUUAUGAAUAAUAACACAAGCAUUUACAAGAACUCAUUCCUCAUUCUACCAAUCUCAUUCAUAAAUUUUCUUCACCACGUUGAAGACAAUAUAUCUAGUCAUUUUUAACCUCUUUGUUUAUAUGUUAUAAGUUGUAUCUUAUCAGUUGUAGCAUGGAAGAAAUCCAUUUACCUACCCAUAUUACCUUUUAUUUCCAGGUCCAAUCAAGUCCAAAAUCAUGGCAAUGUUUUAGACAUAUGGAUGAGGUCACUUAUGGUGGGAACGCCUUGAAAUUCUAUGUAGUUGUAUGACUGAGGAUAAUAAGAACAUGACUACUCCAGAUUGAGGAUAAGGUCAACCUUCUGUCACUUUUGAUAAUAAGGAGCAUUAAAAAGCUUGCAAGGUUCUUAGAGAAACAUUAUUUUUAAAAAGUCAUGCUGCCAGUCACUUUAGGAGUAAACAUUUAACUUUUGAAUAAUUGUUCACCUCACUUCUACCUCACAUUUUCAUGGAGAUAGUUCUAUGUUCAUUUGCUUUCUAUUAGUUGUACUCUCAUUGUGUGUAUAAGAAAAUUAGAGAAAACUUCACAGCUGAGUAUCUAUAACUUAAAAUAAUGAACCAAAUUUUUGGUUGCUACCCUCUUCCUAUUGAUCUUUCUUGAGAAAGUCUCUGUUUCAAUCAUAAAGGGCCAUAUUUCUAUUGGAUUAGUGGUAAGCUUGAAAUAUAUUGUCUCAUUUAUGUCUAUACAGACUUUAUAUUUUGUUAUAUAAUGAGAAGGGCAUCCGCUUUUCUUGGUGGAUUUGUGCAUAUGGGGUUUCAGGUGCAUGGUGUCACUUCGAGAUUGAUGGUAUCAAUGUCUGAAUUUUCUUUUGUCUUCUUAACAACAUGAAAAUAGAUCACAAAUUGAGUGGCAAGAUUAAGACAAAGGUAGCUAAGAAAAAAAAAAAAGAUUCAUGUAGCAAUUGAAGCAUAAAUAUAAAUGAAACAUUCCACAGUUAGCAGCUCACACAAACUGACAAUGCCAAUAUAGCCAAGUAUUUGGGUAAGAUGAUUGAGCACUUUAAAUCUCCCUAGAUGCAUUUCCUUGAAAAUUAUGUCAAAAUAUUGAUCUUUGCAUAAAUUUUGGUUGUGGAAGCUCUUGAAUAAAUUAUAGACGGAUAAAUAAAUUUUUUCAUGGACAAGAAAAGCGAUUGAAAUCUUUUGUGUCCAAUAUUAAUUAUGGAUUUUCAUACUUUAAUAAAUUUUGUUCCAUUUUAUUCAGGUAACUGGUCUUGGGGUAUGCAUGCAAGUUGGUUGAAAAAUAAUCUUACAAUUCAGUGAAAAGGUUGAAUGGAGGGAUAAUAUUAGGUGGAGGCUUUAGCUACAAGUCUGAGAGGUCUUGGAGUUGGCUUGUUAACAUGAAGUCAUCAUCAAAUAAGAAAGCAACUACCUCUUAGAUCCAAUGACAAACAUGAAGCCGAAUGGUAUAUGUUUGAAAAUGAUAGAAUCCUUGAUAAGAUGGUCAUGAUCUUAAGAUGGAAGUUUUUUGAUAGAGAAAGAGAAUCAUGUUAGAUUCUUCAAUUGUUGAGUUAUAAUUAGAUAUGUUACAUAUCAAAUUACCCAGCUACGUACUUUACAAUACCUUAAGUGACCUGAAGGAUCUUUGAACUUGAGAUUACAAAAGUGUCUUUCUCUUCAUGUAUUGCUCCUAAUGUGAAUUAACCAAUUGACGAUUGUAACAUUUAAAGUUGCUUCAAUUGAAAUAGCCUUUUCAUUAUUUCUGAAGACAAACAUCACAACUCUUAUGUGGUUAGGUUUCAUUGGUUUGUUUUGGGGAUGGUCGACGGGUUGGAAAAAUUUUGUCUAAUCAAAUUAAAAUAUUAGAUUUUCAUUUAACUAUUUAGGCCUAUAACUCAAUGGGAAAUUGCAUUUUAUAUAAUUGUACAAAAUAUUCGAAGUUUCAAAAUAUCAAAAUAAAUUAAACUAACAAAUUUAAACUAAAUAUCAAAAUCCAAAAUAUAUUAAAUGAAAAAGCUUAAAAUUAUGAAUUGGGUCAAGUCACUUAGGUUGAAAAUUUUGCUAAUCGGAUCUUGUCCCAUCUCGAGCUUAAAAUAAUAGUAAUAAUAAUUAAUUCUUAUUUUAGUUUGUCAAUCCAUGAAAAUCCAAUAUCAGGUUUGGGUUAGGUUGAAUUGGGUGAGCUUCAUCAUUUUUGAUGAGUUGAAUGCAAACCUCUAAUUACCAUAAUCACAAAAAAUAUAUACCAUGCCGGUUAUUAUAAAUUUAUUUAUAUAUAACUGACACCACAAAUAGUAAAAUACCCUAGGCAAGUGAGUUAACGUCACCAAGAAUUUAAGGUAUAACAAACAAAUCGAACCCAUAACGCCCAUUCAUCUUGGACUUUGGGCUAGGGACCUUGGACAAAUGAAUACAACCAAGGACUAAAGAAGAGCACAAAAAAAUCUAUGAACACAAACUUUACAAUAACUUGUGCAUGUGUUAAGUAGUGAUUGGAUUACUUUUCACAAAGUACUAGUGAUGGUCCCAUGUGUAAGAGAUAAUUGAAUCACAAAUUAACAAAUGUGCAAGUUGUGGCUAAAUGUGUGGUCGUAAAGAAAACCCAAUAAGUGUAGGAUCACAAUGAUGGCAACAGCUUAAAAUUCCACAAAAUAGAAAUAAUUGCAAUGGAUUGCAAUUAUGCCUUAUUUUGCAAUUUAUUACAAUCUUAUGGCAAUAAAUAACAAUUUUGUGUAAAAUAGGCUCUUGAUUCUUGAUCGAUCAACGUGUGUUUUGAGAGGUGUUAAGCUAUGUCAAAAAUGCAACAACUUCUCUUUCCUUAAGCUAAACUUAGGUCUUCAUCUUGAACUAAAAAAUGCACAUUACAACUUAUCAAGACUUACAAUUUGUCACUAUUUACAAACACUAACCUAUAGAACCUAACAAUCUCACCAUUUGGAAAUCUAUAAACCAGAAUAUAUUAGAUGCAAAAACAACAAAAUCCUGCAAGUGAUAUCACUCGAGAACAAGUGAAUAACAAGUACCAACCACUAUAAUCAGGUAAGAGCUAUUUUCAACACUAAUGCUAUUUUGAUAUACUCUUAUCAAAUAAAAAUAAUUUGUCAUUCUACCCUUUACUUACAAGUAAUAAUGACAAAAACUGCAACAAAGGAUAUCAUUAGACUUAGUCUAGCAUGUUCCGUUGUCUACAUUUCUUUUGAUCCAUUAAGUUAGGUCGCAACAAUGUGAUUUUUGUAAAUUCCAAAAUAGCUAAAAUGUUGGGAUAGUUGGCAUUUUUAUUUUUUAUUUUUUAUUUUUUUUAGGAUAGUUUGAUAGAUAUAACAAAUAAGAAUUUGAACUUUAGAUGUUUCCAAACUGCCAAUUGAUGUACAUGACCCUUGGCGGAAUAGUUACGUUGUUAGAGAUACACAUUUACAACCUUUUAAAAUUAUAUAUAGACCCAUUUUAAAAAGAAAAAAGAAAAAAACUAAAAACUAUUUAGACCAAUUGUUCAAUAUACGAUUGCAAUUUUCAUAACUAAGCAUAAUAUUCCAAUUAAGCCUUUGAUCCUAAAUAAUAAAAUUAACAAAUUUAAAAAAUAUAAUUUUUAAAUGAUUGGUAGUAUAGAUUAGGUUGGUUUACUUGAGUUGAUAAUUUUGCCAUGUCAAACUUAACCCAACCUAAGCUUAGAAUAAAAAUAUUAAUAAAAUCCAACCUAACCCAACCCAACUCAACCCAAGACAUUAGAGCAGAUUUGUUAGGUUAGAUUAGUGGGUUGAAAUAUACCUGUGCAUUUGUGCUGAUUAUAAAUUUAUAAUUAAGACGGUUAGUUAAAAAAAAAAAAUUAUAAUUGAGAAAAAAAAAAAAAAAAAAAANACCCACAAAUGUAUGUGAGGUUAUUUAGAGAGAAAAAACCUAGAUAGGUUUUCUACAACACACACACCUAUCUUUUAGAGAGAGAGCUACUCAUCCUUAAUGAGAAAUCAUUGUAACAUCUUCUUCAUUCCUCUCCCAUUGUCAUACCUUGAAAGGAGAUUUGUACCCAAACACAACCAACAUCUAUUCAGAGUGUAGAGAGUGUUUUAGAGUUUAGGAAGUUUUGGAGAUUUGCCAAAAGAAGCCAGUAAGGCUUGGUGGAUGCAAUCGGGCGUAUUGCGGGAUCCAGAGAGUUAGACAAGACACGGUUUCGAGAAGUCUUGUUGAAGUAGGAGCUUGAAGAGUUUAGGCACAUCAGGUAGAUUAGGCUUGGAGGGUCUCUUGCUAACCCAUGUAUCCCAACUAAUUGUCUAGUGGAUCGAUUUCCAUUUGGAGGGCGGCGGAGAGGUUUUUCGCCGAGUUCUUCAGUUUCCUCUUCGAUAACAUGUCUCGGUGUUAUCUGUGUUUGCAUUUCUCUUCCCUAUUCUUGUUCAUUUCAUUUUUACUGUUGUGUUACUUUAAAUAUGGAUUAGAGUAUUUCUCUUGCUUAUACAUGUGUGUUUACACUAUUUCGCACUUAGUAUUAAGUUAGUGUAAAAUCAACCAAGCCGUAACUUUAAUUUCGGGGUCUAAACAGCUUUUGUGUUUUCGACACAUUUUCGAGCUUUCAAUACUAUUUAUGGAGUUCUUAUUUGAAUUUACUUUUAAGACUGCAGGUUUUCUUUGUCAAACAAUAGAACCUUUAGUUUUUCUUAGAUAAGGGUACUGUUUGAAAGACCUUUAUUAUACCGUUUGAAGAGUUUGAGACUUUUUUUUUGUGGUAAAAGAUUUUGAGACUUUUAUUAUAUUGAUUGUAGAGUUUUCUAUGAAUUGAGAACCUGUUUGGUACAUGUUCAGUUUUAAAACAAUAUUACCCGUAUUUUUACAUAUUUUUUCACCCACACGUAUUUCUAAAAAAAAUGAAAAUUGUUGUUUAAACACAUGUACCAAACAAGUCCUGAAUCUUUAAGACUUUCUGAGUUUUCCUAGAAAUCAAAAACCCAUAGCUUUUCUUAGUUUAGGAUACUGUUUGAAAGAUUUGUAGUAUGAAUGUUUUGUAAAUUUAGAGUAGAAGAGGAAGAGUAGGGUUAGGUCUUAACCAUGGCGUUAUCGCUAAUUGUGGUGGUCUAAUAACUUUGGCCACUUCAACUAUCGAUUUCCUUUCUUUCUUUUCUUUUUAAGGGUAACCUAAUUUUAUUAUAAGAAGAAAAACUCUUCAUUAAGGGUGUUAUAAUUUUUUUUUUUUUUUUUUUGAGAAGAAAGGGUGUUAUGAAUAUGAUUGUUCUUGUUGUUCUUUUUCUUUUUUUAUGGGAGGAAGACCAAGAAUAACAUGUGUUGUUAUUUGUUUUGUCGUGGUAAGCAAUGAUAAUGGAAAUAGGUGGUAAAGAGAGGGAGACUUUCUUUUAGAGAGAAAAGGUUCUCUUCACAGAGAAAGAGAGUUGUUUGAUGAUUUGUGAAAUGAAAAGGGCUUCCUUUUUUCUUUUCUUUUUUUCUUGAGAGAGAGAUGAAUGGAAAUAUAUCUUGUAUAGAUUUUCUUUAAUUGACUUUUAACACUUUUUAGGGAUUUUUUUUAUGUCAAACAAGAACUGUUAGCUUUUCUUUAGUUUAGGAUAUUGUUGGAAAUACCUCUAUUACAUGUUUUGUAAUUUUAUGAUACUGUUAAUUGCCUUACAUUUAAGUAGCUGGAAAAAAAAAGGCCAUUUACUAAUAAUAGUUGAAGAAGAAAUAGAAUCUAUAGCAAAAUUAGUUCUCCAUUCUAAUGAUAUUUUGUAUAUAUAAUUAAAUGACUGUCUAAACCCUGAUGUUUAUUUAAAUUUUGUAUAAGGACUAUCUAAUUAAGUUAAUGAGGAAGGUACUAAGGCAGCAUCUUUUACUAUUUUUGAUCUUCCUGCAACUUGUUCACGAUAUGAACCUCCUCCACUUCCCAGUUUUUUGGCAGAUCAUCCGUUCAUAUUCGUGAUCAGAGAAGAGAUAUCUAGGGUCAUGUUCUUCGUUGGAGUUGUGCUUAACCCACUUUAUGGUUAAUUGAUAUUUGUUUAUGUUAAAGGAGGUUUCAUGUGUCUUUCAAGGUUAAAUUUGUUUGGAGGCUUUUUUUGCAAAUUUUAGUGCUUUGGACUCUCUCUCUCUCUCUCUCUCUCUCUCUCUCUCUCUCUCAUUUUGGGUGGAUGGAGGAUAAAAUUGUAUUUCCAAACCCACUAAAUUCAUUUAGCUUACUUUUUAAAUAAAUUUUAUACCAUUACGGAGAUUAGGCUCUUUUCCCACUUAUUUUCCCUUAGAUGUAGGUAUGAGAACCAAUUCUUACUUUCUUUCUUCUUCUUUUUAAUGAAAGAGAACCAAUUCUUACAUUUCUAUGUUAUGAGCCUAGUAUAUCAAAUUAAUGAUAAUGAUAUAAAGUUCUCAUGAUUACUAGUAAUUGAAAGCUUUAUCAUAUAUAUGCAUCUCCAGUAGCUCUACUACUAAUCAAAAGUAUUUACAAGGAAUGGCCAGUUUUGACUUUGCUAAUAAAUAAAAGUGUAGCUUCUUCUAAAUUCACUUGAUGCGGUCGUAACAUUGUUUCUACCUAGCUCGAAUCAUUUGCCAACCCUAAUUAAUGUGGUUCUAUGCUUUGAUUUUAAUUUUAUUUUUUUUUCAAUUUUUCUUUUGGUAAGCCAGUCAAAUUAUUCUAAAUAGUCCAAUCAGAACUCCAUGACAUUUUACCGGCUGGAACCUAUCAAAACAUGCAACAUCAAAGUGUCUAAUCAGAAAGUAUGCAACCAAAUCUUUUCUGAUAAAAAAUAACUGUUUGUGAUCAUGGAGCUAGCUCUUGCCUCUUAUUUGAUUUUACAAAUUAAGUUUUAAUACAACAAGAACACAUGUCCCUUUCUCAAAAUGAUGACGAGUUUUAUUAACGCUAAAAAUUCCUAAACAAUUUUCCUUGUCAAUAAUUAAUAAAGGAGACUGGUGCAUCAAUGGUUUAGAAGUGGUACAUGUUUAUUCGUAUAUGGUGCAUUAUGCUAUUAAAUUGAAGUACUGCAUUCUAAUAUUCUCUCAUAACACGCUUCAAAAUAGUAUUACACAAAAAUAUUCUCAAACAAAGCAUUACAUAAUCUCCUAACAAUUUCAUAUCAAUAAAUGUCUAAUUUUGUAAGAAUCUUGUCACUCAACAGAUUGGUAUCUUCUGAUAUUUUCAAUGGAGACAUUCAAAAUUAAUUUAAAUCUCCUCUCUGUCGUAAUUAUUAAAUUAUCAAAAAAAAAAAAAAAACUAUUAAUUCAUUAUAUAAAGAGGGGUUACUUAUCAAAAAAAAAAAAAUAUAUAUAUAUAUAUAAAGAGGGGUCUUUGCAUGUCAUGAUUAUGAUUCUCAACCGAUGAGUGUUGUUUCAUGAAAAUUUGGAACUGCAAUCUGUGAACAUAUAAAAACUAAAAGAGCUUAAAAAUGUACUACUUAUGUUAUGAAUCAGUUACUUCUUGAUGAAUGUAUGUAAUGAUUUUGAUCUCAAAGUUUAUGUUUAGCUACAAAGAAAUGGAGUAGUGUCAUUAUUGAUGUGGUUAGAGAUUUACUCUACACUUUGCAGGGAAGAAUUGUUGAAAUUUAUGGGCGAGAGGCAUCUGGAAAAACAACGCUUGCCCUUCAUAUCAUCAAGGAAGCUCAAAAGCUUGGAGGUGCGUACUUAUGUUUUCAUCUUCCACUUUGUGAUUGAUGUUUUAGGUAUGACUUGAAUUAGUUUGGUUUGCCAAGGAAAACAAGAGACUUCUUUUUAACCCAUCAUUGUGAAUGAAAUCCAAUCAGUUAGAGUACAUAGAUCCCCUAACCCUUGAUUGUUCUUAUUUACAGUAAUUACAUUAAUCAAACCUAAUUAUAAAUCUUUCUGCAAACUUUCAUGCAUAUUUAAGUAAUUAUCGUUCUAUCAAGGGAUGUUGGACCUUAAUGAGUAGAUUAUUAUUUCAUCACCUAUGUUUAGCAUAAUUACUUGGGAUUUGAAUGAUUGGGAGUUGGAUUUAGUGGUGAAUUUCCUUCAUAUUUUGGAAUCCAAUAUCCCUUCAACUGAAAAUGGGGAUUGCAUGAAAUGGAAGUUGAAGAAGAAUGGGGAUUUUGAUAUCUGUUUGCUUUAUAUUGAGUUGCAAGGUCCCUUCUCCAUCGUCUUUCCUUGGAAAGGUAUUUGGAAAGUUAAGGCCCCUCAUUGAGUUCCUUUUUUUGUUUGGGCUGCAGCUUGGGAUAAGAUAGUCAUGGGUGACAAUUUGAAAAUUAGGGGUUUUGCUUUUGUUGACUAGUGUGUUAUGUGCAAUUGUUGUGAGGAGAUUGUGGAUCAUUUAUUGCUUCAUUGUGAGAAGGCUCAUAGGUUGUGGUGUUUUGUUUUUUCGAUCGUUUGGGAAUCCGUGGGUUUUACCAAAAACGAUACUUGAUCUUCUUUUGUUAGGUGGAAUUGGUUGGGAAAGCACUCGUCAGACAUUUGGAAUUUAGUUCUAUUGUGGUUGAUGUGGUGUACAUCGAGGGAGUGUAAUAGGUGGAUGUUUGAGGAUGUGGAUAGUUCGGAUGACCAGCCACUUGCUUCUUUCAGUGGUUCUCUGUUUGACUAGUCACAACUCACAGGCUUGGAAACUAACAUCUAGUGAAUCCCUCCCAUUGUUUAUUAGUUCUCUUUCUCUUUUGUAAUUAAGUUUUCUUUUUUGCUCAUUUUACUUUCUUUCUUUGUAAUUUUUGACUAUUUUGUCCUCCUUUGCACAAAGUGGCUUUAUUUAUUCAGAUCUUUAUUAUUUAUUAAAAAAAUAAUUCUGUCGAGGCUAAUGUUUCAAAAUGACCACCCUUAUGAACUUUUUUUUUGGAAAUUUCCUGCUUUUCUGGCUACUUAUCAAAAAUAUAUUUAUAAUUCAAUUGCUGUUAAUCUGUAUUUUAGAUGACUAAUAUCUUAUCAUAGCUGAUAAUCUCUUAAAUGAAGCCCAUCUUGCAAUUAAUCCUCAUAUGCGAGAUACAACUGCAUCCAAAAUUUCUGCUCAAGAAUGCAGGACAAAGCCAUUUCACGUUGCUUGAUGCUUUUUGGUAAUGAAUAGGAGUCCCUACUGCCUUGUUCUUUCUGUAUGAUUUCUCCGGAUAGUCACUAUUUUCUUUAUGAACGGUCCUAUUACAGCUAUUAAUUGACUGUUAUCAAUGCUUUGUACAUAGCAACAUGUAAUUGUGAAAUAUUAAAACUGCUAGCGUCACCAGAACAGUGCUAACAUGAACAACCUUAUGUAGAUCUACUGGUGCUGUCUUGUCAGUGAUGAUGGUCAUGACAGUGAGCUUGACAAAAUGAUUACUAGUGAAUUCUGUGUUUAUAGGCACAAAUUUGUAAGAUCACACCAAGUUCUUGGCAUGUUAGGAUUGCCUUUUUCUACUGUUGGGUGUACAUUAGAUUUAAUAUGGCAGUUGUUGCCCUGGAGUGCUUUUGGUUGUAAGUCAAGAAUAUCUGAGCUUUAAAUUUGUGCUUCUGUCUUGAUAUAUAAAUGCAUUGUAGUUCUUCCUGGUAGUUGCUUCAUUGUUUUUUUUUGUUUUUUGAUAAGUAGUUGCUUCAUUGUUUCCUAAGUUUCCUUGAAUGCAAACAAAAAAAUCUCAACAGUUUCCUUUUUUCAAGAGAUUUUUUUUGGUGUGUGAAAAUAUAAACCCCUGCAAGGAUCUGAGAUCACAUAUUUGGUUGUGUGCUGCUUAUUGACAUAAGUUUGACAUGAGUAAAAAAGUAAGCAGUUCCUUUUUAAUCAUUGAUGAUGGCAGAUUACAAACAUAUAAGGAAGGCAGACAUCUUAGUGCUUCCCUGAGUAAUUGGUUGUUUAUUUUGGCAGCAUAGAUUAUUAUUAUUUUUUAUAUGGACUAGUUGGUUUACUUGUCCUUUAAUAGAUUUGGCCUUAAUUAAUUACAUUUAUUAUACGAGAUCUUCCUUCUACCCAAUUUAUUAUUGUUCUUUAUCUUGUUUUUUUUUAAUAGAUUAAUGCUUUCUUUGCCUCAUAGAAUUUUCCUUUUGGCAGGGUAUUGUGCAUAUCUUGAUGUAGAAAAUGCGAUGGACCCUUCACUUGUAGAAUCAAUGGGUAUAAACACAGAAAAUCUUCUUAUCUCACGUCCAAGUUCUGCUGAAAAUUUGCUAAGUGUGGUUAACACUCUGACUAGAAGUGGAGCUGUAGAUGUUAUUGUGGUUGAUAGUGUAAGUGAUUAAUUCUCAUACACAAUUCUGGUGUUAUCCAUAAUCUUCCUCUGGGGGAGUAAAAGGGGGUGCCUUGCCUUGGUAAUUUUUUUUUGGCCCACACCCACAGUGGGUGUUGUUCAACUAUGGUGCUUUGGCCAGUCUUUACCAGUUUGUUUUCAGUAAAGUCAUUCUCCUCAUGGAUGACGUAUUCUAGUUUGUACAGAAAAAUGAAAUGUGGGACAUGUUGUGAAGCUGCUAUUAUCAUCAUAAUCUUUGUCAUUUAAAGAUAAUACACCAAUAGUUCUAGGUGGCAAUAUCUCCAUCAAUUAACCUAAAUUAUAUGGGUUAUGCAGUUUUUUGUUUUAUGGUCAUUGGAGCCUUAUUAUUGCAACCUACUCUUUAUAUUUCCAAAAAAAAAACUUUUUUCUUGGGUUAUUUUUUUGUGAUUGUAGAUGACUAGAGAUCUGUCAAUUGGACUCAAUGUUUUAUUUUCUUUAUCAGUAUUAUCAUGCUCUAAUAAUGUCCUGCAUGUUGGCCUUUUCAGGUAGCUGCCCUUGUCCCCCAAUAUGAACUUGAUCAUAUGAUUGGUAGCACCUUUCAAGAUAUGCAAUCCCGAAUAAUGACCCAAGCACUUAGAAAAAUCAAUUACUCAUUAUGCCAAUCUCAAACUCUUAUAGUUUUCCUUAAUCAGGUUGAAGACGAUAUAUUUGGUCAUUUUUAACCUCUUUGUUUAUAUGUUAUUAUUUUAUCAGUUGUAGUGAGUAUGAAAUCCAUUUACCUUCUUGUAUUACCUUUUAUUCCCAGGUUCGAUCAAGUCCAAAAUCAGGACAAGGUUAUGGACUUGUGGAUGAGGUCACCUGUGGCGGAAAUGCCUUGAAAUUCUAUGCAGCUGUACGAAUGAAGAUGAUAAGGACAGGAUUACUCAAGGCUGAGGAAAAGGUUUAUCUUUAGUGACUUUUGAUAAUAAGAAGCAUUAAUGAGCAAUAGUGUUUUUGAUUAUUACUCGCAGAUAUUAUUUUAUUAUAUUUUUCAAAAUCUCAUGCUACCAACCUCUUUAGGAGUUUGCAUUUAGCUUUUUGAAUAAAUAUCCGCAUCUCUUCUACCUCAUAUUUUUGGGAAAUUUACACAUUAUCAUCUUAAACUAUACCCUCAAUUAGACUUUGCACCCAAAACUUUUCGAAUGCACCUUUUGCACCCUAAAUUAUGAUCUUUGUUACACUUUGCACACUGACAUCAAGUUUACUAUUAAUUUGGAGAAAUUACAUUUUACCACCUUAAACUAUCUGAUUAUAUUUUGCACCCUAAACUUUGAAUUUCCAUCCAAGUUAAUGGUAAAUUAAUGUCAGGGUGCAAAGUGUAACUAUAGUUAUUGUUUAGGGUGCAAAACAUGCAUUCGAAAAGUUUAGGGUGAAAAAUGUAAUAUGGGGGGUAUAGUUUAGGAUGGUAAAAUGUAAUUUUUCCCAUAUUUUUUUUUUUGUCAUGCUUAAAGGAAAGCGAUUAAUGAACUAGUAAGAAAGAGUAAGUUAAUUUAAGUUGAGGGAACCAAAAGGGGUAGAUGAGAACAAAAAAUAAUAUUAGUAGUAGUUGUAUUAGUAGUAAAAAAAGACAUGUCAAUUAAGGAAGUUCCAAUGAUUAUGACUUUGAAUAGCAUAGAAUGGAGGAAAAGAAUAGAUGCAGCCGACCCUAAUUAAUUUGUUGUGGAUCUAUAGCCGACCCCAAAAGAUUUGGGACAAGGCUUUGUUGUUGUUAUUCGCCUAAAUAAAUAAAUAAAAAUGGUGGCUUCCCUCUUCCGAUUGAUCUUUCUAGAGAAAGUUAGUAUUAAUGAUAACUGGCUUUAUUGGAUACAUUGGCAUUAAAUUGUAUUUAUGUGUUUGUAUAGACUUUCUUUAUCGGGUACUUUUUUUUUUUUGGAGAAUCGGGUACUUUCUAUUAAAUUGUAUUCAUUGUCUCAAAUUUUGUUGUCUUCAUAGUAACAACAUAAAGUCAGAUCUUAAGUUGAGUGGAAAGAUAAAGGAAAAUGUUAAAUAAAUAAAUAAAGAUUAAUUUAUCAAUUGAAGUAUAUAUAUAACCGCAACAUUCCACUGUCAGCAGCUUGUGCAGAUUGACACUAGCAGUAGAGCCAAGUAUUCUGGUCAGAUGAAUAAGCAGUAGAUGUUCUUCCUAGAUCUAUUUUCUUGAAAAAUGUGUCAAAAUACUGAGAAGGCUGUUGUUUUGUGAACACUAAUUUUAUCUUUGCUUAAAAUUUGAUGGUGGUAGCUCCUAAAUUUGAUGGGUGAAUAAGGAAUUAAAUUAGCCAUGGACAAGAAAGGUGGUUGCAGCCUAUUGCAUCUAGGAUUAUGUAGGGAUUUUCAUAUUUUUUACUAAUUUUGUUUCAUUUAUUGUUAGAGGAUUUUUUCUGCUCUUUCUUUUUACUAUUCUGAGCAUUUUUCUUGUGACUUAUUGUGUUUACUUUAAUCUUAUUUUACUUGUUUCUGUUUAUAUUUUUUUAUUAGUAUUUUUAAUAAUAACUUACAUUCCAGGUAACUGGCCUUGGGGUUUGCAUCCAAGUGGUGAAAAACAAUCUGGCGCCUUCAAUGAAAAAGGCCGAAUUGGGGAUAAAAUUUGGGAGAGGCUUUUGCUGUGAAGCUGAGGUCUUGGAGUUAGCUUGUGAACAUGGAGUCAUUGUCAGAGAAGGAAGCAACUACCUAAUAGAAGGGAAACUUUUUGGUGGUAAACAUGAAGCUGAGCAGUUUCUAGUCGAAAAUGAUGGAAUUCUCGAUAAGAUAGUCUUGAUAUUAAGGAGACAAUUAUUUGAAAAGAGAAAAGAGAAUCACGUUAGAUCCUUGAAUGGAUGA